rnacentral:rRNA from 1 species
UUUUUGGGCUUGGUAAUUGGAAUGAGGGAGAGUUAAACGGACCAUCGAGUAUCCAUUGGAGGGCAAGUCUGGUGCCAGCAGCUGCGGUAAUACCAGCUCCAAUAGCGUAUAUUAAAGUUGUUGCAGUUAAAAAGCUCGUAGUUGGACUUGUGUGCGCUGUCCGCGGGUGGCCUGCGCCCAAAAGGGCGUUUCGGUUCGGCCCCGGUGGCGCCUUGAAAUCUGCAGCUGGGGGGACGUUGGCCUUAACUGGUCGGCGACCGCACGCCGGCUGCUCGGUUACUGUGAGAAAAUUAGAGUGUUCAAGGCAGGCAUUGGGUGCAAUUGAAUACAUUAGCAUGGAAUAAUAAAAUAUGGCUCCUGCCGUAUUUUGUUGGUUUUGACUGGUGGGAGUAAUGAUUGAUAGGGACGGUUGGGGGUGCUAGUAUUGAGCGGCCAGAGGUGAAAUUCAUGGAUUCGCUCAAGACUAACUUAUGCGAAAGCAUUCACCAAGGACGUCCUCUUUAAUCAAGAACGAAAGUUGGGGGAUCGAAGACGAUCAGAUACCGUCGUAGUCUCAACCAUAAACUAUGUCGACUUGGGAUCGGCGGUAGUUUUUUCAUUAAGACACUGUCGGGACCACGGGAGAAAUCAAAGUGUCUGGACUCUGGGGGAAGUAUGGUCGCAAGGCUGAAACUUGAAGGAAUUGACGGAAGGGCACCACCAGGAGUGGAGCCUGCGGCUUAAUUUGACACAACACGGGGAAACUUACCAGGUCCAGAGAUGUAGAGGAUUGACAGAUUGAAGCUCUUUCUUGAUCACUUCGGUGGUGGUGCAUGGCCGUUCUUAGUUGGUGGAGUGAUUUGUCUGGUUAAUUCCGUUAACGAACGAGACCUCAGCCUGCUAGUGUAGUCGGCUGGAUUGCCUUUGGCGAUCCGUGAUUUCGACUUCUUAGAGGGACAAUCGACGCGCAGUCGAUGGAAGUUUGAGGCAAUAACAGGUCUGUGAUGCCCUUAGAUGUUCUGGGCCGCACGCGCGCUACACUGCUGGGCUCAGCGAGUUUUACUUGGCCGAGAGGCCCGGUUAAUCUUGUGAAAUCCCAGCGUGCUUGGGCUCGCCUCCUGCAACUGGAGGCGCCAACGAGGAAUUCCUAGUAGACGCAGGUCAUCAACCUGCAUCGAUUACGUCCCUGCCCUUUGUACACACCGCCCGUCGUUCCAUAAGAGUGAGGCAUCCGGUGAAUUCUCGGGAGAGCCUGGGCGUGGCCAGCAAUGGUCUGCUCGGGUUUGAACUUGCAUAAACUUGGUGCCUAUGAUUAGGG